rnacentral:rRNA from 1 species
GACAGAGGGUGCAAACGUUGUUCGGAAUUACUGGGCGUAAAGCGCACGUAGGCGGAUUGUUAAGUCGGGGGUGAAAUCCUGGAGCUCAACUCCAGAACUGCCCUUGAUACUGGGGAUCUUGAGUCCGGAAGAGGUGAGUGGAACUCCGAGUGUAGAGGUGAAAUUCGUAGAUAUUCGGAAGAACACCCGUGGCGAAGGCGGCUCUCUGGGACGGUACUGACGCUGAGACGCGAAAGCGUGGGGAGCGAACAGG